AGCGUAAAAACUACAAACAUGGCGGACGCGUGAGUCCGACCGUUAGGUGGAUAGGCUUUGGUAAAGACGUUUGAGUGACUGUUAAUUAACGUAUCACGCUGGAAAACGCUUAAAUCACGUUUCCCACGCUGUAUUUCAUCUGCAGCAACAAUGUGAGCUAGUAUAAAGAGGAGUUUAGCCAUUAACUUUUGAAUUCAUUACAAUACAAACACCUGAGGCGAUUUCUCUGAUUGAUGAGUGGAGAUGAUUGACAGGACACGUGACUAAGCAGCAGAACGGGCCGUUAAUGAGUAAGACUGACCCAAUGCUUUUAUAAUCUUCUGCUAUAUACUCAAAAUAUGCACUUUUUAUUCACAAACGAGUAACUUAACGUGCUUUUAAUAAUAGGCAGCAAAGGUGUCUGUUGAAUCCCGGCUCGUGUUGUUACUUCCUUGGUUACUGCCACCACGGUAACGCAAAGCUGACAGGAGGAGGAAGUGAGCGGAAUCUUCGAGUGUCUUGAUUUAACGCUACAUUAUUUUAAUCUAACGAGCACUCUGUGUUGUGUUGUGCACUCUGGCAGUCUUGUUUUUAAAGUGCUGGAGACCAUAUCGCCGCAUCUAAAGAGACCAGCAUGAGCGAGUCUGACUCUGUUUUCUACCCGCUCCACAUCGGAUGCUCCUCUCAAACCGAGUUUUUGGAUACGCAGCGCCUCUGCCGUCGGCUCAGCCAGUGUUAUCUGGAGGAGUGUGUGUUCCCGGUGCUGCUGCCGGCGCUGCAUGCUUUACUAGAGGAAUCACUGAAGCACCACUGCACACAGAAGAAAAGGAGGACAUUUAAUGGCUGUGACUUCCUUACAGAAUGGCUGUACAAUAAAAACCCACGUUGGACAGACAGAAUGCCGACACAAUUUGAGAACAUUCCGUUUGUCCAGAACUGGCUUUCCAAACAUCCCAGACCGCAGAUCCAGGUUCCUCCAACACCUGAGCAGGCUGCAGUGCUGAUCCAGGCGUUCUGGAGGGGAUAUAAGGUGCGGGCUCAUCCAGAGGUGCAGGAGCUGCGGCAGUGGCAGAGGGAACUGCGGGAGAAGAGCUGCGACAUCAACAAAACGGUUCAGGAUUUCUGGACGCAUCAGGAGAACAGAGUGUGGUCAGAGCUGGAUGCGCUGGUGGACGGCGCGGAUCCGCAUGUGGAGGCUGGAGUGUAUAUUGAGGUUGUGCCGCCGACGCCGCAGAACAGAGCGCUUUACACACCGACUCCAGCAGAGAAAACAGAGCUCCUGACGCCCUCCACACACACAGCGGCAUCUUAAAGGGCCAGUUCACACACAAACACACAGCUCUGUCAUCAUUUCAACACUCUGUCUGUUGUUCAACACUGGAGAAGAUGUUUAGCAUGAACCAUGAACUGCUGUAGUGUUUGCUUUCCUACUGUGCAAGUCAAUGGUUACUGGCUUCAAGCAUCCUUUGAAUGUACUGCAUAUGUAUUUAAUAAUAAAACAAUAAAUAUGUUUCAUUAAAGGACAUAAAGGUUCAUGAAUAUUUGGAAAUUGAUGCGUUGUAAAUGUGUUUGCCUCUAUACAGCAUCACAAUGGAUGAGAAAUGAUCAAGACGUGCUUCACCUGCAGGCGGUCAGCAGUGUUUACAUCCACAUCAGUCAGUUACAGCCUGAAGUCUGAAACUCAGAGACAUGAGCAGACGCUGGGUUCAUCUCUGCUGGUGAUCUGCCAGACCUCUGCUCUGUCUUCAGCUCCUGCUUGUUCUGGAGGCACUUCCUCUUCAGUUUAGUCUUCAGCAAGUGAAAUGCAUGCUCAAUCGGGUUCAGCUCAGGUGAUUGACUUGGCCAUUGCAUGACAUUCCACUUCUCCUUCUUAGGUUGCUGUUGCAGUGUGUUCGGGUCAUUCUCAUUUCAGCACCAGCUUUAUCUUUCAUAUGUGUUGGUGUAGAGAGCUGAAACUAUUUAGUUGUGUCGAUGUCCAGAUAUUUAUGGACCUGACUGUAUUUUACAAAACGUUUAGUCUAAAAUGGGCAGAAACUCAAAGCGAAGUAUCUGAACAAAUUAUAUUACAAACUUGAAGCUGAUAUCUCUAAAGCAGAGCCUUCAGCAGCAGUUUGGCUGCAGUACCAGACAUGACCACAUCCAGUUUACACUGCUGAUCACACAAGAGCGCCACCUUUCUCUCUGUUUUUAGCAGUAUGAGCCAUAUUUUAAACAUCUACUAUCUACAUCUAAUUUUAUAGUAUGGAAAGCUCUGUGUAUUUGAUGUGAAUAUAACCUCUAAAAACACAUGUGUGGAUUGCUGUAGCAAAGUAAUGCUGUACGUCACUGAUAAGUAGCAUUGUUGCAGAUUAAUGAAUAUCCUGUUGCUCAGUAAUAUCUAUAAUAAAUCAUCACCAGAUGUGGAAACUAGUCAUGUUAAGCUUUCAUAUGAUAUAUAGUUGUCAUGAUUGCUUUAUGUUUAGAUGUCAAUACUAUGUAUGUAUGUGGUACAGUAAGUAGAGUGGCCGUAUCUCUUCUACAUCACAUUAAAACAAAUCCUGUGCAGGAUAUGCGCUGA